UCGAAAUGUCCUACUUCACAUGAACGCAGCUGAUCGUUACUAAACGAACUGGAUCUGGAGCCUAAACUACUAGUUCCUGCUUGCUACACGACUGUGGCAACAAAGAUAAAGAGAAAAUGAGCUCUGGGAAAGCACUGCAGUCGAUGUAUACUCACCUCAAUCAACAGCCACCGACACCAAGCCUGGCGAAAAGAAAGAAGAUUCAAGAGAAGUCUGAAAUAAGGAGUCCAACAGACAAUGUGAUGUCCCCAUGUACAAGACAGCUCAUGAGGAAAGCUAUCAAGGACAUACCAUCAUCUCCCAGACCCAGACGGGAAGAGAAAGAGAACUCUAAAUAAACGAAUGACCUUUUUAAGUACAGUGUGAGGUCUUUACGGUAUUCAUCUCUCUGCUAAGAUGGUCAGGUCAAUCCAUCAUUGACACUUUUCUGACAUGAUACCAUCUUUUUAAGAUGUUCUUACUAAUCAAGCUGCCCAAAUGUUAUUUACUUUAUUUAUCCAUUAUGCAAUAUGGUGCACACACGGAGAGGGUUAUAUUCUUCAUCUAUUUCGCACUGUUAGUGUUUCUUUGUCAUAGUUUUUCUGGUGAAUGUAUAAUGCUAUUUGCACUUUAGAGGACAUUUAUUGUACAGGGCUUUAAGUGGUGGGGGUGUUAUAAUCUCAAACAAGUGUUCUGUAUGUAUGCCCUUUGCACAGGUAGACUUCAUGGUUUGUUAAAAAGUAGACUACUUUAUAUUCUGUUUGUACAUUGGCUUUAUGUUGCUCAGUUUCAAUAUGUAAUUAGCAAAAAAGGACUUAGCUCACUGCUUUCAAUAAACAUUUGACUGAGUCAUCAGGCAUGUAUGAAAA